GACGAACGCUGGCGGCGUGCUUAACACAUGCAAGUCGAACGGAAAGGCCCUGCUUUUGUGGGGUGCUCGAGUGGCGAACGGGUGAGUAACACGUGAGUAACCUGCCCUUGACUUUGGGAUAACUUCAGGAAACUGGGGCUAAUACCGGAUAGGAGCUCCUGCUGCAUGGUGGGGGUUGGAAAGUGUCGGCGGUUGGGGAUGGACUCGCGGCUUAUCAGCUUGUUGGUGGGGUAGUGGCUUACCAAGGCUUUGACGGGUAGCCGGCCUGAGAGGGGGACCGGCGACAUUGGGACUGAGAUACGGCCCAGACUCCUACGGGAGGCAGCAGUGGGGAAUAUUGCACAAUGGGCGGAAGCCUGAGGCAGCAACGCCGCGUGCGGGAUGACGGCCUUCGGGUUGUAAACCGCUUUCGCAUGUGACGAAGCGUGAGUGACGGUAAUGGGUAAAGAAGCACCGGCUAACUACGUG
rnacentral:rRNA from 1 species